CAGGAGACACUUUUGCAGCUCCCCUCCUGACCCUGUGCAGGUGCUUUCACCGUCCACUUGUGCUUCUCACACACACUGCACACCCCACGUGGAUGCCUCUUCCUGUCUGUACAGCAGUCCCAUUAUAGGCUCCAGGUAAUGGUCUACAAAAUCUACAAGCAUCCUCUAGAUGGGUCACAUUUCAUGAAUAUUCUUAUGGAACAAAAGACAUAUGCGUUUAUUCUCAUAAGUGAAAUGAGUUUGGGGAAAUGCUGCCACCUAGGAGGGCCACAGGAAGUAUUAUCAACCUGGAGCAAAGGUCCUGAAGGGUGGGAGGAGUGGAGGGAGAGCUUGCUUCCUUCUGAAGUCAUCAAGGACCAGAGAGAAAAGCCUGACAAGGAGGCCAGCAGUGGGCAGACG